rnacentral:rRNA from 1 species
UACGUGGGGUGCAAGCGUUAUCCGGAAUUACUGGGCGUAAAGCGUGCGCAGGUGGCGUGUUAUGUGUGAUGUUAAAUCGUGUGGCUCAACCAUAUCGAUGUGUCGCAUACUGGCAUGCUAGAGGGAAGCAGAGGCAAGUGGAAUUUGUAGUGUAGCAGUGAAAUGCGUAGAUAUCUCUAAGAACACCAGUUGCGAAGGCGGCUGGCUGGGUCCACAUUGACGCUGAGGCUCGAAAGCGUGGGGAGCAAACAGG